GAUGAACGCUAGCGGCAGGCCUAAUACACGCAAGUCGAACGGUGUCUUCGGACAUAGUGGCGCACGGGUGCGUAACACGUAUGCAACCUACCUUACAUUGGGGGAUAGCCUUUCGAAAGGGAGAUUAAUACCGCAUAAGACAGUAGCUGGGCAUCCAGCAGCUGUUAAAGAUUUAUCGAUGUAUGCUGGGCAUGCGUCCAAUUAGCUAGUUGGUGAGGGAACGGCUCACCAAGGCAAUGAUUGGUAGGGGAACUGAGAGGUCAAUCCCCCACACUGGCACUGAGAUACGGGCCAGACUCCUACGGGAGGCAGCAGUAGGGAAUAUUGGGCAAUGGACGCAAGUCUGACCCAGCCAUGCCGCGAGCGGGAUGAAGGCGUUAUGCGUUGUAAACUGCUUUUAUACAGGAAGAAACGACUCUUGCGAGAGGCAUUGACGGUACUGUAUGAAUAAGCACCGGCUAACUCCGUGCCAGCCGCCGCAGUAA
rnacentral:rRNA from 1 species